GCUUUUUUAGUGUAUUGGUUAUCACAUCUGCCUUACAAGCAGAAGGCCUUUGGUUCGAUCCCGAACAAAAGCA